GCGCUCACGGUUAGGAAUGCACGGUUCUAUUUCAGCACCAUUUUUCCGGUUGCUAACUGCUCUCAGUGAAAUGGAUAUGAUGGUGAAAUGGCUCCCUCCGGUUCAAAUAUUGAGCAGCAAGCCUUUGACGGUAUUAAUACAUCGGCUGCGAUUGAUCCAGACAGCGCAGCCGAUGGUAAAACAAGAUCCAUCUCCAACAUUUAGCUGAUGCCUGUAUGUAAUUCGAGAACUUUGACCUUUACUACCAUUAGGCUAUGUUGCUUCAUUUAAAAAAGUG